rnacentral:rRNA from 1 species
UACGUAGGGUGCAAGCGUUACUCGGAAUUACUGGGCGUAAAGCGUGCGCAGGCGGCUUUGCAAGACAGAUGUGAAAUCCCCGGGCUUAACCUGGGAACUGCAUUUGUGACUGCAUGGCUGGAGUGCGGUAGAGGGGGAUGGAAUUCCGCGUGUAGCAGUGAAAUGCGUAGAUAUGCGGAGGAACACCGAUGGCGAAGGCAAUCCCCUGGGCCUGCACUGACGCUCAUGCACGAAAGCGUGGGGAGCAAACAGG